rnacentral:rRNA from 1 species
AUCGGAUUGUGCUAGGUAUCGAAAAGAACAAAGUGGUUGGUGGUGCUAAAAAUCGAUCGGCUGUUCGCUAAAUGAACAUAUGUUGUAAAAAUACAGGGGAAUUAUUUUCGAUAUCCAUGAACGCACGAUGCCAUCUACACUUCGCGCAAUCAG